rnacentral:rRNA from 1 species
GAUGAACGCUAGCGGCAGGCCUAACACAUGCAAGUCGAGCGGUAGAAACCUUCGGGUUUUGAGAGCGGCGCACGGGUGCGUAACGCGUAUGCAACCUACCCUUCACAGGGGGAAUAGCCCGUCGAAAGGCGGAUUAAUGUCCCAUAGUCCUCAGGAUAGGCAUCUAUUCUGGGGUAAAGAUUCAUCGGUGAAGGAUGGGCAUGCGUGCCAUUAGCUUGAUGGUAGGGUAACGGCCUACCAUGGCUACGAUGGCUAGGGGUUCUGAGAGGAAGGCCCCCCACACUGGGACUGAGACACGGCCCAGACUCCUACGGGAGGCUG